rnacentral:lncRNA from 1 species
AUUUAUUUAUAGGUGGUGCUGAGAAUCGAACCCAGUGCCUCACACAUGCCAGGCAAGUGCUCUACCACUGAGCUACAACCCCCGCCCUCAAGGCUGUCUUUCUUUGGAGAGGAGGCAGAACAGGAAUGACUGCUGACCCUCAUGCAGUGACUAUUGUGUCAGGGAUGCUCUAGGCCAUUACACUGAAUGGGUCAUUUACUUUUUACAGUAAAAAGUAGGUGCUGUUUUUAAUCCCAUUUUAUAAAGAAGGAAACUGAGACACUGAGAGAUGAAGUGGCUAGGAAGGUGGGAAUUCAAAGUUUGACCCUUCUGUGGGCUUGAAGUCCAGUCCUCACUUGGCUUCACUGGUUUCCCCCACUUUGUCCUGGGUUAUGGACUCCCUGGCCACCCCACCAUAUACACUGUGGCCAUUUCUGAAGGAAUGCAGAGCUACCCAGCAUGCACAGCCAUUUCUGCUCUUCCCCUUAGCUCCGAGAGGACUUGGAGAAUCCACACUGCCCAGAAAGGUGGGUCCUUUCUGGGUAUAGGUGAGACUUGUCCCCUAGUCAGUUCACACAGCACGGUUCUGUGGAACCAGCUCUAGCUCUAGACACUUUGGCCCAGCCCUCUGAAUAAAGUUGGGGGUCAGAAAGGGAAAGGAUGGAAGACACAGGUGGUGGGGUGGGCAUCUGUCGAGCACUCAGCCCAUGGUGCUGGGCUGCUCUAGACACUUCUCAGGCCUCGUUGUCUCCCUGGAUGUCCAGCCAGUCCAGGGUCUGGACAGGUUUGUGCACUUUGCAUGUGCAGCAGCUGCAGCUUACACAACAAGUAAGUGGCAUUCAUCGUGUCACAGACUUGCCUUGGCCAGAAAAUGCCCACUGGGAGCUGCC